GUGAGGUCGGAGACAGUCACGGUCUGGACGUCGCCGGCGGCGUCCAGAUAGGACAGGGUGGCUUCGGGGAGCUUGUCGCCGACGGCGAUGGUGGCGGAUAUGGGUUUGGAGGCGGUGGUGGAGAAGCGGAGGAGGGGUUUUGGGCGGGGGGAGUGUUUGAGGGGGAGAGGGGUGUAGGAGAUUUUGGAGGAGAAGGAUUUGGGAGAGAAGAGAGAUGUUUUGGGUGCGACGGCGGCGGUGGUGGUGGAGAAAGCGAGGGACUUGGGGGCUGUGAGGAGCCUUGAGAUCGUGAGGGAGGCUGCCAUGUUUGGUGGUUUGAGUUUUAG
rnacentral:lncRNA from 1 species